UACAGAGGUCCCAAGCGUUGUUCGGAUUCACUGGGCGUAAAGGGUGCGUAGGCGGUUGGGUAAGUCUGAUGUGAAAUCUCACAGCUUAACUGUGAAACUGCAUUGGAUACUAUCCGGCUAGAGGAAUGGAGGGGAGACUGGAAUACUUGGUGUAGCAGUGAAAUGCGUAGAGAUCCGGAGGAACACCGACGGCGUAGGCAGCGCCCUGGCUGUGAAUAAAGCUGACACUGAGGCACGAAAGCUGGGGGAGCAAACAGG
rnacentral:rRNA from 1 species